rnacentral:rRNA from 1 species
UGGGGAAUAUUGGACAAUGGGCGCAAGCCUGAUCCAGCCAUGCCGCGUGAGUGAUGAAGGCCCUAGGGUUGUAAAGCUCUUUCAGUGGGGACGAUAAUGACGGUACCCACAGAAGAAGCCCCGGCUAACUUCGUGCCAGCAGCCGCGGUAAUACGAAGGGGGCUAGCGUUGUUCGGAAUUACUGGGCGUAAAGCGCACGUAGGCGGACAUUUAAGUCAGGGGUGAAAUCCCGGGGCUCAACCCCGGAACUGCCUUUGAUACUGGGUGUCUUGAGUUCGGAAGAGGUGAGUGGAAUUGCGAGUGUAGAGGUGAAAUUCGUAGAUAUUCGCAGGAACACCAGUGGCGAAGGCGGCUCACUGGUCCGAUACUGACGCUGAGGUGCGAAAGCGUGGGGAGCAAACAGG